AAGAAGUCAGGCCGGAUUAAGCCAUAGUACGGUAAGAGCUAUGCUGCCUGUGAGCCCCGUCUAAGGACGUAAAAUGAAGUCAGGCCGAAAGCCACGGCUUGAGCAAACCGUGCUGCCUGUAGCUCCAUCGUGGGGAUGUAAAAACCUGGGAGGCUGCAACCCAUGGAAGCUGUACGCAUGGGGUA
rnacentral:lncRNA from 1 species